CGGGCCCCGCCUAGCCUCCCGCCCCUUCCUUCCCUAGAUGCGGUCAGUGCAAGGGCCAGCAGCCAUGCACGGUGACGGAGGGCCGCUGUGUGACCUGCGAGCCCGGCUGGAACGGCACCAAGUGCGACCAGCCUUGCGCCACUGGCUUCUACGGCGAGGGCUGCAGCCACCGCUGCCCGCCGUGUCGCGACGGGCACGCCUGCAACCACGUCACUGGCAAGUGCACGCGCUGCAACGCAGGCUGGAUCGGCGACCGGUGCGAGACCAAGUGCAGCAAUGGCACUUACGGCGAGGACUGCGCGUUCGUGUGCGUCGACUGCGGUAACGGCCACUGCGACUUCCAAUCCGGGCGAUGCCUGUGCAGCCCUGGUGUCCAUGGGCCCCACUGUAACCUGACGUGCCCGCCCGGACUCCACGGUGUGGAUUGCGCCCAGGCCUGCAGCUGCCACGAGGACUCGUGCGACCCAGUCACUGGUGCCUGCCGCCUGGAGACCAACCAGCGCAAGGGUGUGAUGGGCGCGGGCGCGCUGCUCGCCCUGCUCCUGGGUCUGCUGCUCUCGCUACUCGGCUGUUGCUG